GAGUUUAAACUAAGUGAUGUUUAUAUUGAUAUAACAGAUGUAGAUUAUUGUGAAAGAAUUCAACUCAACCUCACAAAGAUUCUAUUACCACUAGCCAAGAGUAUUAAUCAGUUUGAUGUUAUGAAAACCAAUAUGGUAUGGAGUUGUAUGUGCUGGCAUCUAGAAUUUGGUGAUGUAGAACUUAAAGUGACAUCAGUUAAUGUUUGUAUAGAUUUACUGGAAGAACUAGGAUUACCCCCACCAGAGAUACUGGAUUAUUUAAUAGCAUGUGUUCAUGGUUUUAUAGAACUGGUUAUGUCUGGAUGUCAGAAUCUAGAGAAACAAGAGAAAUGUCUGUUGGAGAACAAGGCCGCUGGUCUGAUUAAACAGAUUAUCACCCAAGAUUCCAAAAGUCAUUUAACUUUUCAUAUGACCCAAAGACAUUACCUACAGAUGUUGAUAAAAUUAUCUGAAUUUUUCAAUCAGUAUGGGUUUAUCAACUUACGGGAUUCAGAUUUCAAGCAGUCUCUAUCAAGAUUGUUAUGUUAUUGUUUGGAUAUUUUACCUGAGAAUUUAAUUAUGGGUAGAAUCUUAGCGCCAGCUGUUGAUGGAAUUACUGGUUGUUUAGUUUCAACUCUUGGUGCUGCUUAUGAUUUCCAGUUUGUAGUACCUGUACUGUCUAUAUUGGUAAGUCAACAAUUAACUAGAUGUAACAAUACAGCGAUAGAGUCCGAUAAAGAUACAGAUAAUGAAUCAGACAGAGCUAGUAAACUCACCUUACAUUCAGCUAAAAAGAAAAGAAAGAAGUCACCUGAAGGUGAAUCAAGUAGUAUUGGUCGAGUAACAGAACUGUACAGAAAUCUGGUAGAUAGGUUAAUUAUUCUGCUGAAUUCCUCCCAGGUCCCAUGUUUAGAAACUCUCGAAGCCUGUUAUAUUGUAAUAGAGGUAGCCAUCAGAUCAUCGGCAGAUUUAAAAAAUAACAACAAAAG